rnacentral:rRNA from 1 species
GACAGAGGGUGCAAACGUUGUUCGGAAUUACUGGGCGUAAAGCGUGUGUAGGCGGCUUUGUAAGUCGGAUGUGAAAGCCCCGGGCUCAACCCGGGAAGUGCACUCGAUACUGCGAAGCUUGAGUACUGGAGAGGUUGGUGGAAUUCUCGGUGUAGAGGUGAAAUUCGUAGAUAUCGAGAGGAACACCGGUGCGAAGGCGGCCAACUGGACAGAUACUGACGCUGAGACACGAAAGCGUGGGGAGCAAACAGG